rnacentral:rRNA from 1 species
AUGAACGCUGGCGGCGUGCCUAAUACAUGCAAGUCGAGCGAACAGACGAGGAGCUUGCUCCUUCGACGUUAGCGGCGGACGGGUGAGUAACACGUAGGUAACCUACCUAUAAGACUGGGAUAACUUCGGGAAACCGGAGCUAAUACCGGAUAAUAUUUCGAACCGCAUGGUUCGAUAGUGAAAGAUGGCUUUGCUAUCACUUAUAGAUGGACCUGCGCCGUAUUAGCUAGUUGGUAAGGUAACGGCUUACCAAGGCAACGAUACGUAGCCGACCUGAGAGGGUGAUCGGCCACCCUGGAACUGAGACACGGUCCAGACUCCUACGGGAGGCAGCAGUAGGGAAUCUUCCGCAAUGGGCGAAAGCCUGACGGAGCAACGCCGCGUGAGUGAUGAAGGUCUUCGGAUCGUAAAACUCUGUUAUUAGGGAAGAACAAACGUGUAAGUAACUGUGCACGUCUUGACGGUACCUAAUCAGAAAGCCACGGCUAACUACGUG